rnacentral:misc_RNA from 1 species
GAUGAAGAACGCAGCGAAAUGCGAUAAGUAAUGUGAAUUGCAGAAUUCAGUGAAUCAUCGAAUCUUUGAACGCACAUUGCGCCCCCUGGUAUUCCGGGGGGCAUGCCUGUCCGAGCGUCAUUACAACCCUCAAGCUCAGCUUGGUGUUGGGCCCCGCCGCCCCGGCGGGCCCUAAAGUCAGUGGCGGUGCCGUCCGGCUCCGAGCGUAGUAAUUCUUCUCGCUCUGGAGGUCCGGUCGUGUGCUCCCCAGCAACCCCCAAUUUUUUUCAGGUUGACCUCGGAUCAGGUAGGGAUACCCGCUGAACUUAAGCAUAUCAAUAAGCGGAGGA